CUACAAACACUGCUGUGUCGUUUUGUCUUUCUGUGCAGGGUGGUGGGUAGUGAUGGGCAGAUGAAGCCCCAUGAAGCACUGAAGCUUUUCAUCCAAUUGGUUCACCCCAACGCGAAGCUUCAUGAAGCUUCAUUUGCUCUAGCAGGACACCUACUGGACGUAAAAAUAAUAGCUGGCAUGAAUUUGAAGAGUGUGGCAUUUUGCACACAGCCUGUAAAUGUCAACAACAAAAGGAGUGUGUAAAACAUGUAUAUUGUAGUGAUGGCAGUAUACUGUGUAUAUUUAUACUGGCAGUAUGGGAAAUGAUUAUUUGGAAAUGCUUGAAAUGGAAAUGAUCAUUUACUGUGAGGUGAGGUGUGGUUGGGGUGUGGACAGUAGUUGUGCUUUUGUAACGUUGAGGUAUGGACAGCUACACACUGAGGCUUUGAGCCUCAGUCCUGCCUGUUCACAUUUUAUUCUGUAAAAACUAAAUUUUCACUGCUUUUAUGACCUUUUAGUGGGGAGAACAUAGCUAGGAUUUAAUGAUUUAACAAAUCUUUUGAAUCCUUUGUCCUCCACAAUGCUAAAUGGCUGUGAGUCCUCAAUCACCAUGCUAACCAGGUCUUCAUCUAUUUGAGAUUGUUCUCCUGAGGAAAGACAAUAAAGACAAAGCACAAAUAUAAAUAUCACACACGUAACUUAUAACAGUUGUAUAAUAUUGUUAUAUCAUUUAGUAACAUUACUGCAUGCUAUAUUAUCAUUGCAUUUGAUGGCUCACCUGGUCUUGCUCCACAAUCGGUGUUCCCCUUAUUCUCAUGCAAAGCUCUGUAGUGCCUAAGCAUGGAUGAGGUGUUGCUGUUAUAUCCCAGCUCCCUGGCACAUAGCAAACACUUCACCUUGUACAAAAGUCAAGACAGCUCAACAUAAAUUGUAUUGCACCAUCAGUAUCAUGACAAUACAUCUUCUGUAGAAAUUUACAUACCUUGUUGGGAGGAAUAAAAUCAAAAUGUUCCCACACAGGGGAGGACAUCCUCCUCUUCUUAGCUGGCUCCAUUCUCUCCUGACUUUCUCUCCUCACUCUCAUAAACCUCCAAACUGUCUCCAGACUCUCACUAACCGCAACUCUCCAUCAAACACCCACAUUUUGAAUGAAGUCUGAGGGUUUAUAUCGCUGUCAUAUCUCGCGGCAAAGUUCGAACCACUUCAUGAACCAGUCACGUGGUACAGCCGGGCAGCGAGGCUUCGGACGUCAUCAUUUUCAGCUCCUCCCAUAAAUGAAGCAAGCCUCGAUACGCGCUUCGCGGAAACGCCCCCUCCAUUACUCGACACACGCUCCGAAGCCUCGAUACAGAACGUCACAUCACUAGUGGUGGGUCUCCAAGGACAACUUCUAACCCUGUUAAAGGCAACAUGUGGAGUGCAACUUGGCCGUGUGGCAUAGCUGGCUCUGGCCUUGGGACUGUGUGUUUUUAUACAAUUCAUAAGUGGGACACUGGACUGUUUUAUCUUUUAUCUCUUGAUAUAUUUUUCGUCAAUAAAUUAUCUUUUAGAAUUUUA
ensembl:lncRNA